CUCUCUGGCGACCUCCCGACUCGCUCUGGAGCUCCCCUGUGUGCCCCCUCCCCACGUGGCACAGCAUGUCCUCUCCUCUUGGAAACCAGGAGUUUGAAAUUCUUGCUUCAGGCCAUAUGGAGUGGAUAUUCCUUCCAGAAGGAAAUUACAGACCACUCUCUGUUUCUACUCAACUGCUUUUCACUCCAGGAUGCUUCACCUCUUGGGGCCUUCCCCAGCAGAGGCCCAGGAUCACCUGCAAAAGGCUUCCCCAAGGGUGGGGCCAGAAGCAGGGCUGCAGAUAUGUGUCCUGAACCUCCCAUGGACCCUGCUGGCUCCCUUCAAAGGCUUCGGGCAUAGCGACUUGCCUUUCCGUCUUGUUCAGUCGUCACCAGUCAGCCGUCUGCAGACUUCUCUCCCUCACGUUGUGGCAGAGGAGUUGUACAUUCUCUAGAUUUUAAAAAUAUAUAAGUUACUUUUUCUUUAAAAUAAAAAUUGUCUCUGAAAUAAGCUCCCA
rnacentral:lncRNA from 1 species